UUCCCGAAAAGGACGGUGGUUACUUGAGCAGCAGAAUCGGAGGAAGCGUUGGAAGGGUCCAUUUUGGCCUUGAUUAAAGCCGACAUGAGAUCGAGAGGUGAGGGACCUGAAGAUGAUGAUGAUGAUGAAGAAUCCAUUGUUUGAGAGAUUAGAGCAAGUGUAUGAAUGAAGAAAUGAAGAAUUGGCAGGGGAGAAGCUCUCUCAGUUUUGUUUGUUUAAAAUGAAGUAUGGGAAUUCGGUGGUGGUUGAGACUUGAGAGAGCUGCGAAAGGGAGAGGGCAAUUGUGUUGAGGGG
rnacentral:lncRNA from 1 species